AACCUUAUGGACCUGCGGGCGUAUACCUGCGGAAGGAUCAUUACACAAUACAAUAUGAAGGCUGUCCGCAGCUGGAGUAUUUUAUUACCCUUGUCUUUUGCGCACUUGUUGUUUCCUGGGCGGGUUCGCUCGCCACCAGGACCACCAAAUAAACCUUUUUUAUGCAGUUGCAAUCAGCGUCAGUACAAACAAUGUAAAUCAUUUACAACUUUCAACAACGGAUCUCAGAUCGGAAGAGCA
rnacentral:misc_RNA from 1 species